CGUGUCCCAUCUCGCCAAAGAGACUUAAUGGAGGAGAAAACGCGUGGCAAAACCGCAGUCUCUGGUUCUAGAAGCCACACAUCCUUCAUCUUUGUUUAUAUCUUUUAUCACAUAGACCCAGUUGCAUUUUAUUAAUUACAAAUCUCCUUCAAGUUGCCUUUGUGCUUCCCACAUAAACAAUUUUCACUCUUUUGGUUUCCCAAAAAGGCCGGGAAAUGAUUCCGCUUAGGAGACUUGAGCUCUUGGCUUUGUUCUUCAUUGUUGUUGCCGUUUUUCAAUACCCGAGAGCCAUGGAGGCCAAGCCUGCAUCAUUCCAAAGGUAUUCAAAGGUGUUUAAUACACUGGGAGUGGUGUGCAAGUGUUGUGAUGGUGAGGGAGGUGAAUGCAGAAGCACAUGGGAGGGGUCUUGCCCUAAGCUUCAGUGUCUUCCAUGGAAAUAUCACUGAUGCAUGAAUGUUUUUUUAUAUUUAUGGCUUUAUAAUAAUAAUAAUAAUAAUAAUCUGUGUUAUGUGUAAUAUAAUGAGUGAACAAUAAUUCUGCUGUGUGCAGUACAUAUAUAUUGAUUUAGCUUUACUUUUGAUGA